AGAGUUUGAUCCUGGCUCAGGACGAACGCUGGCGGUGUGCUUCACACAUGCAAGUCGAACGGAGUAGCAAUACUCAGUGGCGGACGGGUGAGUAACACGUGGGAAUCUACCAUUAGGUGGGGUAUAACAGGCCGAAAGGACUGCUAAUGCCGCAUAUGUAGGCAUCUCGACAGAGAUGUUUAUGAAAGGAGUAAUCCGCCUUUUGAUGAGCCCGCGUCCGAUUAGCUAGUUGGUAGGGUAAAAGCCUACCAAGGCGACGAUCGGUAGGUGGUCUGAGAGGAUGAUCACCCACAAUGGGACUGAGACACGGCCCAUACUCCUACGGGAGGCAGCAGUGGGGAAUUUUACGCAAUGGGGGAAACCCUGACGUAGCGACACCGCGUGAGCGAAGAAGCCCUUUGGGGUGUAAAGCUCUGUCAACAGGAACGAAACAAAUGACGGUACCUGUGGAGGAAGCAUCGGCUAACUACGUGCCAGCAGCCGCGGUAAGACGUAGGAUGCAAGCGUUGUCCGGAUUUAUUGGGCGUAAAGAGUUCGUAGGCGGUUUGUUAAGUCUGAUGUUAAAGACCGGGGCUCAACCUCGGAAAUGCAUUGGAUACUGGCAGACUGGAGUGCAGUAGAGGCUAGUGGAAUUCCCAGUGUAGCGGUGAAAUGCGUA
rnacentral:rRNA from 1 species